AACGAACGCUGGCGGCGUGCCUAACACAUGCAAGUCGAACGAGAAAGGGGUAGCAAUACCCCCGGUACAGUGGCGAACGGGUGAGUAACACGUGGGUAACCUGCCCUCGAGCUCGGAAUAACCCGCCGAAAGGCGGGCUAAUACCGGAUGAAGUUCUCGGACCUCCGGGACCGGGAACCAAAGAUGGCCAAUGCUUGCAAGCUAUCACUUGAGGAGGGGCCCGCGGCCCAUUAGCUAGUUGGCGGGGUAAUGGCCCACCAAGGCGACGAUGGGUAGCCGGCCUGAGAGGGCGAUCGGCCACAUUGGAACUGAGACACGGUCCAGACUCCUACGGGAGGCAG
rnacentral:rRNA from 1 species